rnacentral:tRNA from 2 species
GGGCCGGUAGCUCAGCACGGCUGGAGCGUUCGACUGAUAAUCGAAAGGUCGCCAGUUCAAAUCCGGCUCGGCCCACCA